AUUGUGACUCGUUUGAGCUCUUAGCCAGGCGUGUAGUCUGGCGGGAGCCGUCGCGGCUGGCUCGGCAGCUCCAGGCUAUUCCGAGGAACAGUCUUCAGAGAGCCUGGGGUGCUGAUGGGGAAAAGCUGUUGCUGAGAUUUGACAAGUUUGGUCCUGAGAUGUCAGAAAGGAUUUCAGCUCUUCUGCCACCCCAAGGACGGUGGCGCGUAAAUCACAGUGAGCUGGCUUAUGUCAGGUCAACUGUGGAAUUUGAUCCUAGCGCAUUGCUCCCUCCUCUUCCUUGCCUGCGUCUCUCCCUCUCUCAGCUCUAGUUUGAGAUCAGCACAGAUUCCCUGGGUGAUUUUUGAGAAAACUGCCUCCUCUUUAGGACUUGGCAUCCCCUAACCUGCAUCAGGAAAGGGUGGCGACAGAUACUCUCACACCCAGGGAGGCUGCAAGGCCCACCCUCUACCCUCCACCUGGGUUCUCUGGCGUCGAGACUUGUGCCCUACAGUUCUGGGCCGUUGGGGUGAUGUCCCAGUGGGACCAGGGUGAGGGUGCAGAGGACAAUGGAGAGAGAGUCAACUCUGAAGAGUGGUCUUGUGGAAGAGGCAGCUGGCUGGUUCAGUGUGGCACUGGCAGCCUCCCUAAGGUUCCCAGGUAGAAGUUUCUGACAGGUAGAUUUCAGCUGUGUUUAAGGAAGAACUUUGAAGUUGUCAGAAUGAGCGGUCUUGUGAUAGUGAGCUCCCUGUCUCCAGAGGCAUGCAAGCAGGACACUUUCACAUAUGCAUUCAAGAUGACCUAUGCAAGGCGUUGUGCUAAGUGCUAGGAGUGCAGAGGAGAACGAGACCCAGUGGGGAAACAGGCACUUGCAAUGCUGCUAAGGACAUGUUGCAGAAGAAAUGCAAGUACAGUGAAGAAUAAGACUGGGGAACUUUUACAAUUCAGAGUGGCCUUCACUGUGGGCGGUCCGAAUUGAUCCCUGUAUACAGGUGCUUCUGGGGUGACAUUUUCCCUGCUCCAUGGAGCUCCGGGAGGAGUGCGGACCAACCCCUUCUUUGCAGGCCUGUCUGUGGGGUGCCACUCCUCCUCCCACCUCCCCACUGCACAGACAGCCCAUCAGUGUCCCUGAGCUGCUCCAGAAGGAUGCAGCUCUGAGGAGGCUCUGGGAGCGGUGUAUCCUAGCAACCUCUGAGGCUGGCAUCUGCAGGGCUAGGCCCAGACUCAAGGCUCUUUCUAAUUUGCCAGCCUUCCCUUAAUGAUAAGCUUUCCCACACGGAUGUGGAGUGGGGAGGAAGAGGGGAGAAGUGGGCAGGAAGUGUUGCCUCCAACCCCAUCACAGAGUAGGUCAAGCCUCGCCCACAAUACUGCCGGGGAUGGGGAAGGAGGGAGGGCACAGUGAGUCCGUUAACUGAAUAUGCCACUUGUCCAUCACCGUGGCCGGUUUAUCACCAUUUAGAGGACAAUGAAUCCAGGCAGUGAUCCACCAAUGAUAACUAACAUCAUAAAAAGAUACAUGGCCGGAUAUGAUGUUCCUUCUGACGGAAGACCACAACACCUGCUGAAAAAUCAAAUCUGAAUCGGAUCAAGCCUCUAGAGGAGGCAGCACCCAGGGUCAUUCCUGGAGCAUAAACGAUCCCUGCAGAACAUGGGCUAGAAGACCCCACAGUGGGGCAGAGGCAGGUCCUGGACUGGGAUCCCAGCAGUGAGAAGACCUGGACAUCAACCCUAUUUCAUUGUGCCUCUGCAAAUCUCCCAACUUUUGGAGCUGUAGCUGCAAGCUCAGACUUGUGGUUUCCUGUACCUGGAGGAGGCCCAGGUCAUUCUGUUAAGUCCCUUGUCUAUUUCCUGCUUUUAUCUGGAUGCUGAGUUAAUUAUUUGAUCCAACAAUAAAACUAACAAGGUUUUA
ensembl:lncRNA LINC00642 long intergenic non-protein coding RNA 642